GGUCCGUUGGCCCAAUGGUAAGGCGUCUGACUACGACUAUGCAACAGCUAUGGAAUAGUUAAUCAGGAGAUUCUGGGUUCGACCCCCAGGCGGACCU